ACGAUGCUAAUGUUAGCGCGUGUUCUGAGAUAAAUGCACCGUAACACCAGAAACAAGUUUUAACUCUGAUUACUGAAGCUGUGGUUCUGCUUUUAUAAGUUCCAAUAUGUUUUGUCCCUGACGUCUUAAUCAAAACAAGCUCAGGUUUCAGCUCGUUCAUUCGUUCGACUGUUUAUAUCAUUAAAAUGUUUGAGUUUCAGCCUCAUAAAGCGCCACCUGCUGCAGUCAGUGCUCGCCGCUCUGCUCUCGCGCCAGCGAAUACCUCAGAUGUUCUGUAAUGGUGUUUCAGCCUCUUAAUCAGACACCGGCCUCACAGAGCCGCGGUGAGAGCUUUUCUUUCCCCGGGUCAGUGGAUUUAGACAAACCGCAGGAUGUAAUCCCAUUUUCCACUCGCAGACGGAGCCCUGAACUCGGCGAAUCUCGCGCCUCUAAGUAGCGGAGGCGCCGUCCUGCCCCUCUGCCGCCCGGCAACAAGCCAGGGCAGGGUGGGGGGUCCCCCCUGGCUCGAACCAACCAGACCCACCAGGCUAUCUGAGAGUGUGUGUGUGUGUGUGUGUGUGUGUGUGUGUGUUCAGCAGAGAGAGAGAGAGAGAGCACAGUGUGGGGUCCAUAUGUUGAAAGAGAAGAAGAAGCUGUGAGGACUCGCUGCAGGAGUGGCCUCCAGUUUCUGGAGCAUUUUCCCGUUGGACAGAAGUGAAAUCACCUGCACGUCUCUUCUCUCCUCCAGAUGUUGAACACUGAGGUGCAACAUGGACGCUGGGUGACGAGGUCGGGUUCGUCCCAGACGUGUUGGACACUCAUCAGAUCUUUAAGGAGCUGCUUUGAUCACAGGGUGUUUUCAGGAGUGAGAAACGAAGGGAAGAAAUAAAAUCGUCUCUUCACACACAGAUUGCAGGAUUUCUUUUCAUUAUAAAUUAAUUUCUGAUUUAUUUUGGUCUCCACAUGCAGCUGCUAAAAUGGUUAAAAUGAUGUUCAUAUUUUUUCAUAUUUUGUCAGUUUUAUGUGAAAACCAACGAGUUCACACACACACACACACACACACACACACACAAAGUUGAGUUCACCUUCUGUAUUUUAAACUUGUAUUUGCUCGUGUGCUUUUCUUUCAUGUGUUUCAUUUUAGUUUGUGAGGCAAUAAAAAGAAGCUUGAAGCUUGA